AUUAGUAUUUAUGUUCGGUAGGAUUUGAUUUUUAAAGAAUUUUACAACUGACGAUCAGCCUCUAUUCGCCAGCGAGAUAUUUUAAAAGCUAUCCCAAUUCCUUGGCGCAAAGCAAAGAAAAUCUGAAGAAAAAUGGACGUCCAAAUCGAAAUGCAGGAAAUGGGAGUAAAUCAACCAAAUGAUCCCAACACCCCUCGAGUUAUCCGUCCAGAUAUUGUGCCUCUUGAGACUGCACCAGACGUUAUUCCUCAUGAAAGGAUACGACGCUAUUGGUAUCAGACAUCCUGUUGUAUUGUCAUUAUCGUAAUAAUAGUAAUUAUUUUACUGUUUUUAUUUUGGCUGUGGACGAACAGAGUGCUUCUCAAACUUGAUGCAUCAGCAACAAUCGAUACUGUGUCUAAUCGAACCAUAUCGAAUAAACAUGGUGAAGGCGGAAUUCAUUUUUAAUUCAUUUCAGAAACUGAUAUCACUAAAAUAUGCUGGUACUAAGUAAUAUUCAUUUUUAUAUUUGUGGAGUAUUUUUAAAACCAGUCUUGCCUGUGAUUUUAUACUGAUUUUAAAACUAUUAAAAUCUUAUUUUUGUUCUGUU